GGUGGAUGCAUUAAAAAAUUUAUCAGGGAAGCGGUAUAUAAGAGCAUCCACAACAGGAUUCGACCCCCCACCUCGACGAGCCCCGUCCCCGGGCUUGAACGCAGUUCGAUUUCAUGAGCCGGGCUCGAUUUAUAUGAGGCACAUGCAAUUAAAAAAGAAGAUUUUAAAUUUUGAUUUUUAUUAAAUUUUUUAUUUUUUUCGAUUUUAAAAUUCUGAUUUUUUUUUCAUUUUCUUUAAGUUACCUUCUAUUUUAACAUUGUAAUUCUGAAAUUUAAAAAUUUAUUGAAAAUU
rnacentral:lncRNA from 1 species